GGUGGGUAAAGAUUGAAGUUCUUUAUUCUCCUGAAUAUGGUUGGCUUCCGGCUUUAAACUUGUCUUUUCAAAUACCUGCAUUUCACCUGGUAUCAAAGGUUGCAUCUCUGUGCAGAGAUCACAGUUUUCCAGUAUUCCUCUCUCUUCAUGAGUCUGAGAUUGAUUAUCAUCUUUAGGAAAAGAUCCAGAUGAUAAUGGGCUAGAUAGUGAUGUAGAACCAAUGUACCCAAAUACACUUUCUGCAAUGUUCUUGAAAAAAACCAAUAGUGGAUUGAGGAAGAAAGAAGGGACUAGACUUCCAUGGGUACCUUUUGCAAUCAUUGUUGCCAUUGGAAUUUAGCAAGUCCUUUCCUUUCAAGCUAAAGAAUUGUUUGUCAAGAUCAACCAUCUCUUGAUUCAUAUUCAUUUCACCAAUAUUUUGCUCAUUCAUUCCAGAAUUUGUUGUUGAACUUUCAUACUUGUCAAUUCGAAAAAUGUUAUUUGGCUCAACCUUGGUUUCAAGUCCAGAAGCCC
rnacentral:misc_RNA from 1 species